GAUUUUUACCUCCUUUUUGCUAGAGAAUCAAGGUGGAGAAGAAAGGCGCCCAGUGUAGCCCCAAAAUCUGCGGCUACGUUGUAGUUUAAUCUGUACCCGCAUGGAGCCGCGGGGAGAUGGAGGGGGAGAGAUCUGGGAUUUUACUACAACCCCUAGGCCUGCUUGGAGCCGUCGUCUCGUAUCAAAUCCCUCAGAUCUCCCACUGCAACUCACACACAGAGACCAAGAAAAGCACAAUCCCGUCCAUCUGAUCUGCAUGCCCAUCCCCCCUCACUUCCCCUCCCCGGAAUCCCCCCUCACAAGCCGCAACCCUAGCUCCCCUCUAGUCUAUAAAUAGCGCGCCCGUAAAGGAGCUCUUCCUUAUUACAGGGAACGAGGGCGGCAGCUGUGGAUCGAAGAUCGAUCGAUGCCCAGCUCGCAGAGCAAGAGAGCCGUGGUCUAGUCUUGUGUGCUUAUCAAAGGGCGGCUUACUGGGAGUUCCUUGGCAUUCUGUCCACCUCCUUGCUGAUCAUGCAGAGAGCCUCUCAAAUCUGUUGUGUUUUUGGAGGUGGGCAUACUGCCAAUGGAGCUGUGUAGGCCUCCCUUUGUAAAGCCCACAUGACUCCCAUCAGAGCUUCCUCCCUAGAUUCGAUCAUCACUUGUGUCAGAAACGCCUUCAUUAAGCUUGCUUUGCUACCUUUUCUUGCGUGUUCAUUUGUUGGGCCUUUUGAUGCCCUCUUGUUUUCUUGGCUGGGGUUAUGGUUCAUCAUGGUCCAUGAUGUGCUUUUGGGGAAAGUUUUGGAGCGAGCUAUCUACAUAUGGUAGUCUGAUCUGCUCUGUUGCCGACCUAAUUUAGUCUGGUUCCUUGAAGCCGGCCGGCCAUGGUGUUGGUGUUGGGGAAGUGAAGAUGGCUUUCCCCCCUCAUGCCAUUCUUUCGGAUCCGUCGUUUUCGCCGCUAAUCGUUCCUUUUGCGUCCAAUUUCUUCUGAAGGCUAACACCGUAGUUCAUGGCUGCUUCCUUGCUGGUUUUGCAUGCAGGUCUGUUCUUCGAUCUUUGAUGGAGGUCAUCUCUGCAACAUCUGACUAUGGGGCCAGGCAAUGAGAAGCUCAUGGCUCUAAAACCGGCUCCGGUUGGAGUCCUACCAAACGGUCCAUUUUAGAGCAGUUCCAGGCAAGGAAACGUCCAUGGAGCUCCUUCUGGCUUCCACUUGGGAGGUGGAGCCAUGAAAUGUGGCUCCGCCCGGCUCCGUGGAGCUCCUCCAGGUCGCCUGCCACCUUUGCCCCAAGAGUGGCGUGAAUGGAGGCUGCCGACGGCGGGCCACUGUGGGACCCUAGGCGGAGGAUGACGGCGCUGUGGCAGGAGCAAAAGGAGGAGGGUGGAUGGAGCGAAGCGCUGCGGAGGCGGGCGCGGAGGCGACGGAGCACAUGGCGGCCAGCGAUGCUCGAGGUUGAGGCGGCGCAGAGUUGGGGCACGGUGGAGGCGGGGAGCGGAGCUGAGCGGUGGAGGUGGGCGCGGCGGGAAUGAAGGGAUAAGAAGGAAAGAGAAGGGAAGAGAAGAAACAAAUGAGGAAAUAGGAAGAAAAAAGAGAGAUAAGCCGCUCCACCAAAAGAUCCGGAGGCAGUGUUGUUUUUGGAGGAGUCGGAGCUCUGCCAAACAGAUCCUAAAUGUGUAUAGAAGAUUGGUAUUGACAGGAUCUCUGGCUUGCU